CCGUUAGUCGCCUCUUACGACAAGCAUGGGUUGCUGAAGGUACAUUCUAACCCGGACCUUCACGGGUCGGAUCUUCAGGGGUCGGAUCUUCACGGGACGGAUCUUCAAGGGUCGGAUGUUCACGGGUGGGAUCUUCAAGGGUGAGAUUAGUGAUGUAGAUACCCCGAGAAUGGUUUUAAUGAUAAUGUUUGCUAUACCCAGGGGUAUCAAGAUCCUGUUCUAGUGAAAUAAAUGAUGUGAUUAAAGAAAGUGUGUAAUGUGUAGAUGUUCUGUUGUGCAGUUGUAGUGAUACUUAGAUACUUUGAUUCUCGAAUUCGCUAUAUCUCAGAUGUAUGAAAGUCCAUUUAUGGUAAAAUAUCUGAAGUAUAUUUUUGAUGACAAUAUUUGCUAUAUGCAGAUGUUAUGUAAUGUUGUCUUAAUAAGUAAGACAAUUUUCGAUGUUAAAGAUUGUUCUAUCCAGAUGUUGUGCAAUGUGGCCUAGGAUGGUUAUAUAUCUCUAUUUGAAGUGUGUAUUGGAUGUCAAAGUUUACUGUAUGCAUGUAUUAUCCAACUUUAUUAUGAUUAUUGAUGUAAUUACGAUAUUUUCAUGUGUAACAUACAGUAUUUUUUGGUUACAAAGUUACUACAUGCAGAUGCUAUAUAAUGCAUUUCAAGUAAGAUUAGUGAUGUAGAUACUUAGUAAAUAUUUUUGCUGAUAAAUUUUCUAUACCCUUUUGUUAGUCUUGGUUUUGGGAGGUUGGAGGUGUACAUAUGUUCAGUGUGUUUUUGAUUGCAAAGUAUUCCAACUCAGGAGUUGUAAAAUCCAAUUUCAUUAAGAUUACCUCAAAGGAUAAUUUGAUUGAAAGGUUCCUAUAUGCAGGUUUCAAGUAAAUCAGUUCUAGUACGAUAGUUGGGUUAAUAUACAGAAAGUAUACUCUUAAUGACAAUGUGUGCUGUAUCAGGUGUAGUAUAAUCAGUUGUAUCAAAGAAAGCGGUGUAAAUACUAAACUUAUGUUUCUUAUGAUAAAGUGUGCUAUAUGCAGGUGUUAAAUAAUACAGUUCCAGUAAGUAACGUAAAUAAUUUAAGUACGUUUCUCAUGAUAAAGUGUGCUAUAUCCAGAUGUUCGUUAACCCCCUUCGAGUAAUAUUAUCAUAUAAUGAUGAAGUGCUUUAAAUGCGGCCGUUGGAUAAUCUCAUGCAAGAACGAGUUCUGGUGAAAGUAUGUAAAUGUGAAAAAGAUGAAUAGAAUUCUCUGGGUUUGUUUGAGCGUUCUGUUGCUUUGUGUAUGUACUGUAUGUUGUCUAUGUUGUUGUCUAAAUUUUAUUUACUCUUUUGGUCAGGUGCACCGUAAUAGUUUUAAUAACAGCUUUGUCAAUAUUAAAUUUGCAAAUUCCUAAUAUCAGUUGACAGCCAAGAUAGUUUUAAUGCAUUGUCUGUCUGAACAUGUUUCAGGCAGAAUUAUUUUGCAUUUGGAGUCCAAUGGAAGAGUAAAUAGUUCAUAUGAUUUUGGAGAAGAUUUUGCCGCCAGAUAUGACUUAUUGCCAGAAUAACUUAUAUGUUACUUCAGCCUCAUGAAUGUAGCUGUUAUCCAUGACGUCAACAUAUGCAUGAUCUGAUAAAGCACACACAAGUGUUUAAUGAGCAUCUGAAAAACAUGAAAGAAUGGUAUUCGAUUCCCUGAAAUUGAAAAUUAAUCGCUGCAUAUUAAUACGUAUAAAUAUCGCUCACAAUUGUAUUGUUGCGUCGUUAGAAGUGGUGGCGUCAUUCAAAUCAUAUUGUGACAUGAAGUCGGAAUGACGUCACAAAUGAUCAGUUCCAGAUGCAACCGUGGGAACCAGCCGAAACGGUCGGCUGAUGACACUUCACUGCCGUACCCGUACUCGAUGUCAGUGAGUGCAGACAAAAAAACACGUGUGGACCUUUUGGUUUACUUUUGUGUUCACAAUGUCUAUAAACGAUAAUAUUUCAUUUGAAACCUCCGGCCAACGCCGUUGGUUCCAAAUGAAUUCCCGUGCUUCAAAUACUCAAUAACACCCGGAAAUUGGCCAACACAUAAUGUUUAUCUCCUAAUUAGAAAUGGUCUGAACAUCUUUAUUUGUGUCAGUCUAUAACAUGCAAUAUUUUGCUCAUGUUUAUUUUGCCUUUUUAUGCCAUCACAUGUUUAAAUCAAAUGUGGCUGAUAUAAUUCCGCUCUAACACAAUGAAACACGAUCGAUUUUGAUGAUAUCUUGUGGGAGGCCUUAGUGAAACGGAUCAGAUAUAACGAUAUGUAUUAAAAUAUGUAUUAUUGAUAAUGAUGACAACAAAGCUAUAACACAUUAAAUGCCCUCUGAAGUUGAUAUGUGUCCAUCCUGGACUUCCUCAACAUGAAUGUCUUGAGGUGGAGUCAUUAGUUUGUGACGUAAGAGACAGAAUAUUAUGUGCUUCAAUUGUAAUUGUUUCUCAGUGAGUGUUGUUGUUUCCCAAUUAGAAUAAGUGUUGUUUCUCAAUUAGUGUGUUGUUUCUCAAUUAGUGUUGUUGUUUCUAAAUUAGUGUUGUUGUUUCCCAAUAAGACUAAGUGUUGUUUCUCAAUUAGUGUUGUUGUUUCUCAAUUAGUGUUGUUGUUUCCCAAUUAGACUAAGUGUUGUUUCUCAAUUAGUGUUGUUGUUUCUCAAUUAGUGUUGUUGUUUCUCAAUUAGUGUUGUUGUUUCUCAAUUAGUGUUGUUGUUUCUCAAUUAGUGUCCAAUUCUUUCUAUGUAUUGUGUUACAACAUUUUGAAAAUAGCUAAAAAGGAUAUUUCUGAAAACCUCAAUAAAUGCCUGACUUUAAUCUGUA